GCAGCUCACGAGCUAGCUUGUUGCAGCAACACAACAACAUUUACUUUAGGUACUCUGUUUCCGCGCUGUCCUGCUGGCAAAAAACGAACAUGUAGUCUGAAAUUCAACCAUGCUGUCUUGUCGGGAGAUGCAGUGACUUAGACCAGCGUGAUUUCACUCUUGCUGCCUCAACAACCACAUUUCUGUCAGCAAUAAGGAGCAGUUUUCAGCAUGUUGGUGUUUCCUAAAAUUCCAGAGGGAGAUGGAAGAGACACUGAAAAUACGAGGAACAGACGGCGGAGAUUUUAAGGGCCGCUGACUACGGUGACUGACCUGAGCACAUGAAGGGCCCUAUGAAGAGCCCGUGUGUGGUUUGUCUUUUCUGGACUACUGUGGCAAUGCAACAUGGCAACUCAU